rnacentral:rRNA from 1 species
UACGGGGGGUGCAAGCGUUGUCCGGAUUUACUGGGCGUAAAGGGCGCGUAGGCGGCUCGGCACGUCCGUUGUGAAAUCGCCCGGCUCAACUGGGCGGGGUCAGCGGAUACGGUCGAGCUUGAGCAAGCUAGGGGGUAAUGGAAUUCCCGGUGUAGUGGUGGAAUGCGUAGAUAUCGGGAGGAACACCAGUGGCGAAGGCGGUUACCUGGGGCUUUGCUGACGCUGAUGCGCGAAAGCGUGGGGAGCGAUCCGG